UGGAGUGUCUCAGUGUACUUAUAUACAA
rnacentral:piRNA from 1 species